GAACGAUCCACUUGCAAACAGCUUCUGGAAGGCUCUGGAGGUCAGGGGAGGAAUGGCAGCACCCUGAGACAAGGGGCAAAGCCACAGGAAGCCUUCUCUGUGCAGGAUUCUAGCCCACAAGUGGACAAGCACAGAGAUGAGACCAGCGUGGCAUGGGGAGCGGUGAUGUGUGGUUGUGCACAGAGCUGAGCCUGUCCCUGGCAUGGGGCCCUGCUGUGUUUGGGGACCAGCAGCCCAGUCUCAGCAGGGAUUGACCCUAGGCACCCAUUACACAGAGGCCAGCAGGCAGCACCGUGCCACCUCUCCCUGCCCUGUGACGCUUGAUGCCGGCUCCACACCCACUCCCUGGCAGGGUUCAGGCUUUAAAACCUGAACGGGUUCCUCUGCAUUCACACCCCGGGAGCUGCCCUGUCCCCGCUCCUGCCUUUACGCAACGCGCUCACAUGAAACGUGCAGCCACCACCUUGCUGUUAUAUAGGCACCCCGCUCCCCAGCCCGGACGGUGCUCAGUGCUGGGAACAGCAGCAAAGCGGAUGGAGAGGACCCUGCCCUGGGGCCCUGCAGCAGCUGGGAAGCGC
rnacentral:lncRNA from 1 species